AGGUGAGGCUUUCUAUUCUUAUAUGAGACUGAAAUACUGUUGCUUUUUCAUUGGAUCAUAUGCUUUAGUGAUUUUCCAUAUUCAUGUAAAGAUUCAAACUUCAAAUAUAAAUUUAUGGACUAACAUAUUCAAUGUGUGCCUGCUAGUGCUAGGAAAUAAUGUAGUUAAAGCAUUAUCCAAAGAUUGAGGUUAAUGGGGCAUUGGGGUUUAACAUGACUUGUGAGGCAUGCUCUUUUAGGAGUCUGUGAUUUCUGAAGUGGUCUUCUAUUAAAGUGGAUUGUAGGUAGCAUGCCUA
rnacentral:misc_RNA from 1 species